rnacentral:rRNA from 1 species
UACGUAGGGUGCAAGCGUUGUCCGGAAUUAUUGGGCGUAAAGAGCUCGUAGGCGGUUUGUCGCGUCGAAUGUGAAAACCCGGGGCUCAACCCCGGGCCUGCAUUCGAUACGGGCAGACUAGAGUUCGGUAGGGGAGUCUGGAAUUCCUGGUGUAGCGGUGAAAUGCGCAGAUAUCAGGAGGAACACCGGUGGCGAAGGCGGCACUCUGGGACGGUACUGACGCUGAGACGCGAAAGCGUGGGGAGCGAACAGG